rnacentral:rRNA from 1 species
GAUGAACGCUGGCGGCGUGCCUAACACAUGCAAGUCGAACGAAGCACUGUGGUGCUUUCCCCUCGGGACUGAUCGUCUUGCGGCUGAGUAACGCACGGGUGAGUAACGCAUAGGUAAGCAGCACUGUACGGGGGGAUAACAGAUGGAAACGGCUGCUAUUACCGCAAAAGCGCAAAGCAUCGCAUGAUGCAGUGUGAACAACUCCGGUGGUAUAAGAUGGACAUGCGCUGGAUUAGCUAGUUGGUGAGGUAACGGCCCACGAAGGCGACGAUCCAUAGCCGACCUGAGAGGGUGACCGGCCACACUGGGACUGAGACACGGUCCAGACUCCUACGGGAGGCAGCAGUGGGGAAUAUUGCACAAUGGGCGAAAGCCUGAUGGGGCGACGCCGCGUGAACGAAGAAGUAUUUCGGGAUGUAAAGUGCUAUUAGCAGUGAAGAUCAUGACGGUACCUGAUGAAGAAGCACCGGCUAAAUACGUG